ACGGACUAAUCACCUUAAUGUUUAAGAGAAUUCUUGCGAUUUUAAGCGUAUUGCAGUUUUAGGGUUUAUUUCUUUUUUUUUUCUGGCAGAUACUAGAGGCUGUUUACAAAGGCUCAAAGAAUGACUAAAUACAAAAAACAGGCUACAGAGAAUCAAAUGCAGGUGUUACACAUAUAUUUUAGUCUUGAGUUUCAAAAGUUGGACAGGAAACUGAUGGCAUAUCCUUACAAUGCUAUUUUUUUUUUGGAGGAAUCUUUGUAAAUUAUAAAACAUGGAACUUAAGUAAAUUUAACAUAUCACAGU
rnacentral:sRNA from 1 species